rfam:Botryotinia fuckeliana BcDW1 unplaced genomic scaffold Scaffold_185, whole genome shotgun sequence.
GGGGCCGUAACUCAGUGGUAGAGUGCCUCGUUUGCAUUGUCAAGAUUCUAUCCGAAGCUCUUGGUGGUAUAUAUUUCGAUGAAGUCCAGAGUUCGAUCCUCUGCCGCUCCA